GUUCAGCUGGAACUCUAGCUGUGAAAUGAGGCUCAUCCACUAUUCAAUUGCUAUUUUGACAGGUAUAGGGAAAGUGAUUUGGUAAAGCUGGAUAUUCGGAUUAAUGGUGAACCUGUUGAGCCAUUGGCUACAAUUGUUCACAAAGAUAAGGCAUAUGGUGUGGGCAGAGCUUUGACUGUAAAACUUAAGGAACUUAUUCCGAGGCAAAUGUUCAAAGUUCCUAUUCAAGUAAGGCCAAGUUCCUUGGUUAAGCAAAUCAGGCACCCUUCAUAUUUUGUGCCAAUUAUUUGGGCUGGAUUUGUGAAGCAUCCUAUUUCCAUUCCUUUGCGUGCUAUGUGAAUGUCUUAUUGAUACCAGCCCUCUAAGAAAAUUACAAAAAGACUUGCGCUAGGUGAUCCUCAUGUAUCGCUAAAAAAGAAUAGCAGUAGUAAUGACUGGAUCAUGUUGUUGGUUGCUUCUUUUGCUUAUGACAAGAAACAGCUGAAGAUAUUUUGUUCUUGGAACAAUUUUUUUUUUCUUCCUUUGAUUAGUUAACCUGCAUUACAAACAGUUGUAUCUAAAGCAUACUGUGAGAAAAAAAAA